rnacentral:rRNA from 1 species
UACGUAGGGGGCAAGCGUUAUCCGGAAUUACUGGGUGUAAAGGGUGAGUAGGCGGCAUGGUAAGCCAGAUGUGAAAGCCUUGGGCUUAACCCGAGGAUUGCAUUUGGAACUAUCAAGCUAGAGUACAGGAGAGGAGAGUGGAAUUCCAUGUGUAGCGGUGAAAUGCGUAGAUAUAUGGAGGAACACCGGUGGCGAAAGCGGCUCUCUGGCCUGUAACUGACACUGAGGCUCGAAAGCAUGGGGAGCAAACAGG